rnacentral:rRNA from 1 species
CAACUCGACUGCACGAAGCUGGAAUCGCUAGUAAUCGCGGAUCAGCACGCCGCGGUGAAUACGUUCCCGGGCCUUGUACACACCGCCCGUCACACCAUGGAAGUCUGCAAUGCCCGAAGCCGGUGGCCUAACCACUUAUGUGGAAGGAGCCGUCUAAGGCAGGGCAGAUGACUGGGGUGAAGUCGUAACAAGGUACC